GACGAACGCUGGCGGCGUGCUUAACACAUGCAAGUCGAACGGAAAGGCCCCCAUCUUGGUGGGGGUGCUCGAGUGGCGAACGGGUGAGUAACACGUGGGUGAUCUGCCCUGUACUUCGGGAUAAGCUUGGGAAACUGGGUCUAAUACCGGAUAGGACCAUGGUUUAGUGUCUCAUGGUGGAAAGAUUAUUGUUUUGGUGCUGGAUGAGCUCGCGGCCUAUCAGCUUGUUGGUGGGGUAAUGGCCUACCAAGGCGUCGACGGGUAGCCGGCCUGAGAGGGUGGACGGCCACAUUGGGACUGAGAUACGGCCCAGACUCCUACGGGAGGCAGCAGUGGGGAAUAUUGCGCAAUGGGCGCAAGCCUGAUGCAGCGACGCCGCGUGGGGGAUGACGGCCUUCGGGUUGUAAACUCCUUUCGUUAGGGACGAAGCCGCACUUUUUUUGGGUGUGGUGACGGUACCUUUGUUAAGAAGCACCGGCUAACUACGUG
rnacentral:rRNA from 1 species